rnacentral:rRNA from 1 species
AUGCCCCCAGCAGGUAAAGUUACGAAACAGCAGCAGCCCACCGAGGCAACCGGGAGGUGGAGGGCUCCAAAGACAGGAGCCACGACGCGACCUUCGUUUGGCGAGCACACAAAGGAGCACGGCGACGACGAAUGGGAGGCGGAGGAGGCGGAAGACGGGGCAGUUGGAUCUGCGGGAGGCGGGAUGCAGAGCGCGCAGCAGGCGGUCGAUGACGGCGAGUGCUUUAGGGCUGGAGGCAGCGGAGGCCGGCGCAAGACGCGGAGCACGGGGGGCGUCGCGCCAAGCCUAGCAGGCAACAGCGGGUCGAACCGCCGCCAAGGUAGCCACGAGGCCAGGCCACGGGAGCCACCCGAGGGCGCCAGAAGCCCGCUGUCGCGGCGUGCUGGCCAGAUCUAA